rnacentral:rRNA from 1 species
GACGAACGCUGGCGGCGUGCUUAACACAUGCAAGUCGAACGGAAAGGCCCUGCUUUUGUGGGGUGCUCGAGUGGCGAACGGGUGAGUAACACGUGAGUAACCUGCCCUUGACUUUGGGAUAACUUCAGGAAACUGGGGCUAAUACCGGAUAGGAGCUCCUGCUGCAUGGUGGGGGUUGGAAAGUUUCGGCGGUUGGGGAUGGACUCGCGGCUUAUCAGCUUGUUGGUGGGGUAGUGGCUUACCAAGGCUUUGACGGGUAGCCGGCCUGAGAGGGUGACCGGCCACAUUGGGACUGAUAUGCGGCCCAGACUCCUACGGGAGGCAGCAGUGGGGAAUAUUGCACAAUGGGCGGAAGCCUGAUGCAGCAACGCCGCGUGCGGGAUGACGGCCUUCGGGUUGUAAACCGCUUUCGCCUGUGACGAAGCGUGAGUGACGGUAAUGGGUAAAGAAGCACCGGCUAACUACGUG